UACGUAGGGUGCAAGCGUUAAUCGGAAUUACUGGGCGUAAAGCGUGCGCAGGCGGUUAUGCAAGACAUAUGUGAAAUCCCCGGGCUCAACCUGGGAACUGCAUUUGUGACUGCAUAGCUAGAGUACGGUAGAGGGGGAUGGAAUUCCGCGUGUAGCAGUGAAAUGCGUAGAUAUGCGGAGGAACACCGAUGGCGAAGGCAAUCCCCUGGACCUGUACUGACGCUCAUGCACGAAAGCGUGGGGAGCGAACGGG
rnacentral:rRNA from 1 species